GAUUUGUCUGGUUAAUUCCGUUAACGAACGAGACCUUAACCUGCUAAAUAGUGACACGUAACUUCGGUUACGUGGCCACUUCUUAGAGGGACUUUGCGUGUCUAACGAAGGAAGUUUGAGGCAAUAACAGGUCUGUGAUGCCCUUAGAUGUUCUGGGCUGCACGCGCGCUACACUGAUGCGUUCAACGAGUUUAUAACCUUGUCCGGUAGGAUUGGGUAAUCKCUUCAAAACGCAUCGUAAUGGGGAUAGAUUAUUGCAAUUAUUAAUCUUCAACGAGGAAUUCCUAGUAAGCGCGAGUCAUCAGCUCGCACUGAUUACGUCCCUGCCCUUUGUAYACACCGCCCGUCGCUCCUACCGAUUGWGUGAUCCGGUGAAUAAUUCGGGCCGCKGCAUUUUUUCAGUUUCUGAACGUUGUCGUGGAAAGUUUAGUGAACCUUAUCACUUAGAGGAAGGAGAAGUCGUAACAAGGUUUCCGUAGUGAACCUGCAGAAGGAUCA
rnacentral:rRNA from 1 species